rnacentral:rRNA from 1 species
UACGUAGGGUGCGAGCGUUGUCCGGAAUUACUGGGCGUAAAGAGCUCGUAGGUGGUUUGUCGCGUUGUUCGUGAAAACCGGGGGCUUAACCCUCGGCGUGCGGGCGAUACGGGCAGACUUGAGUACUGCAGGGGAGACUGGAAUUCCUGGUGUAGCGGUGGAAUGCGCAGAUAUCAGGAGGAACACCGGUGGUGAAGGCGGGUCUCUGGGCAGUAACUGACGCUGAGGAGCGAAAGCGUGGGGAGCGAACAGG